GCCUCAGGUGUGCAGGACUGCAGGAGGGAUGAUGGCUCCGCCCAGGGGUGGAGACCAAGGAAGGAAGGAAGCCCAGGGGUGGAGACCAAGGAACUCAGGUGCCUGAUGGAACUUUCCAGUCAAACCUCCAGAUCCUGACAGCUUGGUCUUAAGAUCCUCCAAAGGGAGGAUGAUGGGGUGGAUGGCUCAAGAUAAUGUUCUUGGACUUCAAAAAAAUGCCUGCUGCUUACUUCUGUAUUUCUUCUCCAAGCUCACCAUGGCUGUCGUGUCUGGUUUCAAAACACUGACGGCAAAAGCAAGUGGAAUCUUCAAAACCGUCACUUCAGUCACUGAUGGAUGAGAUUUGUCCUUCCGCAGUCCCCAAUAAUUACUACUUCUCCUAGGGUAUAUAUUUAAUGUCUUAUAAGUUUGUGCGGUACAGCCAAUCACUGGCCAAAAAACCCAAAAAACUAACUUUAUUUCUGAAUUGUGAUAGAGCUGAUGUGUCAUUUUUUGUUUUGCUUUUGUUUAUUAAAUUAAUUGGAACAUUAAUGAAAA